rnacentral:rRNA from 1 species
AGCGAACGCUGGCGGCAUGCUUUACACAUGCAAGUCGAACGGCAGCACGGGGGUAACCCUGGUGGCGAGUGGCGAACGGGUGAGUAAUGCAUCGGAACAUAUCUUAAAGUGGGGAAUAACGCAUCGAAAGGUGUGCUAAUACUCCAUAUACUCUAAGGAGGAAAGCGGGGGAUCGAAAGACCUCGUGCUUUAAGGGUGGCCGAUGUCUGAUUAGCUAGUUGGUGGGGUAAAGGCUUACCAAGGCGACGAUCAGUAGCUGGUCUGAGAGGACGAUCAGCCACACUGGGACUGAGACACGGCCCAGACUCCUACGGGAGGCAGCAGUGGGGAAUUUUGGACAAUGGGCGAAAGUCUGACGCAGCAACGCCGCGUGGGUGAUGAAGGUCUUCGGAUUGUAAAACCCUGUCGCCAGGGACGAAGGGUGGGGCGUGAAUAGCGUUCUACUUUGACGGUACCUGGAAAGGAAGCCCCGGCUAACUCUGUGCCAGCAGCCGCGGUAAGGUCGUC